rnacentral:rRNA from 1 species
UACAGAGGUCUCAAGCGUUGUUCGGAUUCAUUGGGCGUAAAGCGUCCGCAGGUGGCACCUCAAGUCUGCUGUCAAAGACCGGGGCUUAACCCCAGAAAGGCAGUGGAAACUGAAGUGCUAGAGUGCAGUAGGGGUAGAGGGAAUUCCCGGUGUAGCGGUGAAAUGCGUAGAGAUCGGGAAGAACAUCGGUGGCGAAAGCGCUCUGCUGGACUGCAACUGACGCUCAGGGACGAAAGCUAGGGGAGCGAAUGGG